rnacentral:rRNA from 1 species
CAUGGAUAGAUCGCCUGGUUGAAGGCACGGUAACACGUGCUGGAGGACCGAACCCACUAAUGUUGAAAAAUUAGGGGAUGAGCUGUGGAUCGGAGUGAAAGGCUAAACAAGCCUGGAGAUAGCUGGUUCUCUCCGAAAACUAUUUAGGUAGUGCCUCGUAUAUUACUGCCGGGGGUAGAGCACUGUUAUGGCUAGGGGGUCACAGCGACUUACCAACCCAUGGCAAACUCCGAAUACCGGCAAGUACAGUACGGGAGACAGAGCACCGGGUGCUAACGUCCGGACUCAAGAGGGAAACAACCCAGACCGCCAGCUAAGGUCCCUAACUAUGGCUAAGUGGGAAACGAAGUGGGAAGGCAUAGACAGUCAGGAGGUUGGCUUAGAAGCAGCCAUCCUUUAAAGAAAGCGUAAUAGCUCACUGAUCGAGUCGUCCUGCGCGGAAGAUGUAACGGGGCUAAGCCAUAGACCGAAGCUGCGGAUGUGUACUAUGUACACAUGGUAGGAGAGCGUUCCGUAAGCCUGUGAAGGUGUUCCGUGAGGAAUGCUGGAGGUAUCGGAAGUGAGAAUGCUGACAUGAGUAGCGAUAAAGGGGGUGAAAAGCCCCCUCGCCGUAAGUCCAAGGUUUCCUGCGCAACGUUCAUCGGCGCAGGGUGAGUCGGCCCCUAAGGCGAGGCAGAGAUGCGUAGCUGAUGGGAAGCGGGUUAAUAUUCCCGCACCGUCGUAGAGUGCGAUGGGGGGACGGAUUGCAGAAUGUUAUCGGGGUGUUGGAUGUCCCCGUUGGCGCAUCAUAGAAGGCACUUAGGCAAAUCCGGGUGCGUAAUUCAAGGGUGUGACUGGAUAGAGCUUCGGCUCUAAACUAACUGGAAGCAGUUCCAAGAAAAGCCUCUAAGCUUCAGCUCUACGAGACCGUACCGCAAACCGACACAGGUGGACGGGAUGAAUAUUCCAAGGCGCUUGAGAGAACUCAGGAGAAGGAACUCGGCAAAUUAAUACCGUAACUUCGGGAGAAGGUAUGCCUCAUUAGUGUGAUGUGCCUGCGCACAAAGCAUGAAGAGGCCGCAGUGAAUCGGUGGCUGCGACUGUUUACUAAAAACACAGCACUCUGCAAACACGAAAGUGGACGUAUAGGGUGUGACGCCUGCCCGGUGCCGGAAGGUUAAGUGAUGGGGUGCAAGCUCUUGAUCGAAGCCCCGGUAAACGGCGGCCGUAACUAUAACGGUCCUAAGGUAGCGAAAUUCCUUGUCGGGUAAGUUCCGACCUGCACGAAUGGCGUAACGAUGGCCAC